GACGUAGGGCGCAAGCGUUGUCCGGAUUUAUUGGGCGUAAAGAGCUCGUAGGCGGUGUGUCGCGUCGGCCGUGAAAACCUGCAGCUUAACUGUGGGCUUGCGGUCGAUACGGGCAUCACUGGAGUUCGGCAGGGGAGACUGGAAUUCCUGGUGUAGCGGUGAAAUGCGCAGAUAUCAGGAGGAACACCGGUGGCGAAGGCGGGGUCUCCUGGGCCGAUACUGACGCUGAGGAGCGAAAGCGUGGGGAGCGAACAGG
rnacentral:rRNA from 1 species